GCCGGGGUAGCCCAACGGUAGAGGCAGGCGUUUCAAACGCGCCCCAGCGUCGGUUCGACCCCGACCCCCGGCACCA
rnacentral:tRNA from 1 species